rnacentral:rRNA from 1 species
ACGAACGCUGGCGGCGUGCCUAAUACAUGCAAGUCGAACGGUCUUUCUAUGGAAGCUUGCUUCCACUGAGAAGAUAGUGGCGAACGGGUGAGUAACACGUGGGUAACCUGCCCAUAAGAGGGGGAUAACAUCCGGAAACGGGUGCUAAUACCGCAUAGUUUUCUUGAUCGCAUGAUUGAGAAAGGAAAGAUGGCCUUUGUGCUGUCGCUUAUGGAUGGACCCGCGGCGUAUUAGUUAGUUGGUGAGGUAACGGCUCACCAAGACGAUGAUACGUAGCCGACCUGAGAGGGUGAUCGGCCACAUUGGGACUGAGACACGGCCCAAACUCCUACGGGAGGCAGCAGUAGGGAAUCUUCCGCAAUGGACGAAAGUCUGACGGAGCAACGCCGCGUGAGUGAAGAAAGGUUUUCGGAUCGUAAAACUCUGUUGUCAGAGAAGAACAAGUUGGAGAGUAACUGCUCCAGCCUUGACGGUAUCUGACCAGAAAGCCACGGCUAACUACGUGCCAGCCGCUGC